rnacentral:tRNA from 1 species
GCCAGGGUGGCGGAAUUGGUAGACGCAGCGGACUCAAAAUCCGCCGGGCGCAAGCCUGUGGGGGUUCGAGUCCCCCCCUUGGUACCA